AUAAAGAGAGCAAUGUCUCAUCAUGAGAGAUAAUAAGUUUACUUAUUGAUGCGAGUAGGAAUGUUCUCUGAUGACAAAAUCACAACAGGUACUUCCUUAAGAUUCGAAGAUUCCCGUCAAUAACAUAAACAAAAAAAACAUAGAAACCAGCAAAAAAAUGUUAAUCUCUGAAUUUUCUCAAAAAGACUCAUGAUUCCUAAUAAGAAAAUUUUAAACACCUUUACUAUCUUGAGAAGCUCAAAACCUGUCAUCCCUGGCAUACAAUAAUCAGUGAUGAUAAGAUUCACCUUCAUAACCUGUAAAAAAUGUAACAAAACUCAUAGGAUUUACACAUAAGUCUGGGUAUUAAAUAACUAGAAGGUUAAGCUUACACUGUUGGUAGUUAAUGACUCAGUCUGUUGUGGAUCUCCCAAGCCUAAGUACUCCAAUGCUCUAAGCCCAUUUUCUGCUGUUGUCACUGCAAAAAAGAAUCAAUUAUUACAUUUCAGAGGUAAUCUUGGUUCUAAUUUUAAAAGGUAACAAAAAAUGAUAUAACUUGCCUUUGCAGGAAGAGAUCUUGAGAAUUCUCUCUACGAGUUUACGGUCAAUGAGAUUGUCAUCUACUGCUAAAACAUGAAGCUCUUCGUCCAUUGAUGCUUUGUGCAGCGAAGUAACUGAGAAACCUAAAGAAGGCAGAGACAAACGUACAGAUGAAGAAGAAAGGGACAAUUGACAAAUCGAG
rnacentral:lncRNA from 1 species